rnacentral:rRNA from 1 species
GAUGAACGCUGGCGGCGUGCUUAACACAUGCAAGUCGAACGAUGAAGGAGAGCUUGCUCUCCGGAUUAGUGGCGAACGGGUGAGUAACACGUGACUAACCUGCCCCUUUCUCUGGGAUAACGCUCCAAAAGGAGUGCUAAUACCGGAUACGAACUCUGAACACAUGUUCGGAGUUGGAAAGUUUUUCGGAAAGGGAUGGAGUCGCGGCCUAUCAGCUUGUUGGUGAGGUAACGGCUCACCAAGGCGACGACGGGUAGCCGGCCUGAGGGGGCGACCGGCCAGACUGGGACUGAGACCCGGCCCAGACUCCUACGGGAGGCAGCAGUGGGGAAUAUUGCACAAUGGGCGCGAGCCUGAUGCAGCGACGCCGCGUGAGGGAUGAAGGUCUUCGGAUUGUAAACCUCUUUCAGUAGGGACGAAGCGAAAGUGACGGUACCUAAAGAAGAAGCACCGGCUAACUACGUGCCAGCAGCCGCCGCGG